rnacentral:lncRNA from 1 species
AGAAGAAUUACAAUGUUUCUAACACAAAGAAAGGUUAAAUGUUUGAAAUGAUGGAUAUCUCAGUUGCCUUAAUUUGAUCAUUAUAUGUUGUAUAGAUGUAUCAAAAUAUCACAUGUAACCCAAAAAUAUGUACAAACUACUAUAUUUCCAUAAAAGAGGAAAAAAAGCAACCAGAGAAUAAUAAUGAUGGGAAUAUUGUGGUAGUGGGGAGGGUGCUGUAGGAGUCCAAGAGCCUACAUGCUAUUGCUCUGCUGGAGGUGCCAUUGUAAUUGCUCCAGGUGCUGUAGCCAUUGAAGAGGGAACAAUCAGACUAGAGCUGUGAGGACUGAGGAGAGGUUGCUAAGGCUAAAGGUAGAGUUCCCAAGAAGACUCAGGAAUUUGAGAUGCCCAUGAAGCAGGGAGAUGGAGAGGUAGGAGGUCAGGGGAGAGAGAGAAAGAGAGAUUACUAAGGAACAGAGGCUCUUUCUCCUCUCCUACCUGUUUUUUGUUUGUUUUUGUUUUUGUUUAUGUUUUUUGCCAGAGUCUCCUACUGAGAAGCCAAUUGACAGAGGAGUCUGGGAAAUUCAGUUUUCACCGUCUCUCCCAUCCUUUACAGAGCAGAGUAAGAGGCAUUAAAAAAUUGCCUAAUAUUAAAUCAAAUUUGUAUUGCUAAAAUAAAUAUUGUUAUAAUACAUUUUAUAAUAUUUUCUUUAGGAUUUCUUUAUCUUUUGUACCUACAAUCACAAAUGAGAAUGCCCUGUAAUUUUCCUACCUUGUUUGUGACUCUUUGGCUUGAAAAUAAAGGUUUCUCCAACUAAUAUAAAUGAGAAUGAUGAAGAGUAGCCCCUCUUUUUAUGUUCUCUGGAAUAGUGUAGAUAAUUUUGAAACUGCAAAUUUUGAAAUAUUCCUUGAAUAUUUGAUGAAAUGCUCAUAGACUCAUCAGGUACCAGUGUUUUACUGAAGUAAGAUUUUUACCUUCUGAUUCAAUUACUUUAUUUUUCAUAUUUUAAACCUGCUUGCUUAAUGUAGACAAUAACCUUCACUCCUAAUAUCCACUUAUUUUAAUCUCUACAGCAUCUGUGGCUAUAUAAAAUGUAUUCCUGACAUUAUUAAUGUCUUCAUUCAUUUUCUUGAUAAAUUUUGUAAGUAAUUGUCUGUUUUAUUAAUCUCUUUACAAUCCGUUUUUCACUGUUGAUUACCUCUAAUUUGUAUAAUUGAAUUACAUAAUGUUAUUAAAAAUUGUUCUUAUUUUAUAUUUUCACUUAUAUUUUAUUUUGCUCAAUUUUGUUAUUCUCUUAUAACUUGUUAAAUACAUUGUUCACUAAUUAAUUUUAGUCUUUCUUUGUAUAAAAUUAUUUUCUUAUAUUUGUGCUUAGUGGCAACCCACAACUUUUUCUCUUGUAUAUAUUUUUUAAUUUCAAAUAUGACUUCUUAUUUGAAGCACGAGAUGUUAAAUCUAUGUUUUAAAAUUAUUUUGUUUUAAUAUUACAAGUUUGUUGGAAUAUUAUGUUAUGUUCCCUAAUUUGGGGGUGUCAUGUUCCAUAAAAAUUAAGCUUUGUUUAGGUCAUCAUGGUGUACUGAAUCGUUUUUGAGAACUAAAAUUUUGUUUCAUUAUUAAGUGAACUGCUUCAUUUUUAUUUUGGCUUUUUUGCCAUAGUAUCAAUAUAUCUCUCAUAAAAUAUUGUUUAGCAUUAUCCCAACAUACACAUGUUCACACACUUUAGCUUUUAUUAUUUCUGUAACCUUGGCUUUAUAUGCAUUCCAUGUAUAACAUAUAGAUGAAUUUUUAAAAUUAAUUCUCACAGUCUGUGUUUAGAAUUGCAUGUGGAUAUGUUUUCCUACAUUAUUAUGAUUUUAAUUUCUUUUUGUGUCUUUUUUUAUUUUUUAUUUGAAUGCUUUCUUUUUCUUUCUUUCCUUCCCUUUAACUCUUUCUUUCCCUUCUACUUUUCCUUCUAUUUGUACAGAAGUUUUUGACACCAUGGCUAGUUUUUUAGAAGUCAAGAUAUUUUAAUAUGUGUAUAUAACAAUGAAUUAUCUUUACCCUACUUUUGAAUAAUACAAAAGUUUCCAAAUUAUUUUAAUCAAAUUUCUAUUUUUCCACAUAUUUCAUCCACUAAAUAAUUGAAGCCUUUAUACUUUUGUAUCAUGUAUUGUUUUAAUGUACAAGCACUUUUUGUGGAGAUUUAUCCAAAUAUUGAUAGGAUGUCCUUGCUCUUGUCUGCCUUUUUUUUUUUUUUUUAAUUCUAAUGAAGUACAUCCUCUAUAGCAGCAGUCCCCAACCUUUUUAGCACCAGGAACCGGUUUCGUAGAAGAUAAAUUUUCCACAGGUGGAGGAGUGGGGUGGGCAGGGGGUUGUUUUGGGAUGAAACUAUUCCACCUCAGGUCAUACGGCAUUAAGGCAUUAGUUAGAUUCUCCUAAUGAGAAUACACAACCUAAGUCCCUCUUAUGCACAGUUCAAAAUAGGGUUCACGCUCCUAUGAGAAUCUAAUGCCAUCACUGAUCUGACAGGAGGUGGAGCUCAGAUGGUAAUGCUUGCUGGUCCCUGCUUACCUCCUGCUAUGUGGCAGGUCCUAAAGAGGCCACCGACCAGUACCAGUCUGCAGCCUGGGGACUGGGGAUUCCUGCUCUAGAGUUUUCCUAAUGUGCAACUUUUGGAUAUAAAUGCAGAUUUUGUUUUACCUAAAAUGUUUUCAUUCUUCCUAAUGCCAUGAUAAGCAAAACACCGAAUCUCAAUAUCUGAUACCAUGGAAGUUUAUUUCUCAUUCAUAUUGAAUAAAAGGGGGAAUUCAGCAGGCUGCCUCCAUUCAGUGAUUUGGGUAUCCCCUCUUAUCCUGUGUCUCUGACACCCAUUAAGAAAUCUAAAUUCUUCACUUUGCGACAGCAUAGGGUAAGAAGAAAAGAGAAGGGUUAUUCAGUUACAUAUUUUUCCAGGAAGAGAGACAGAAAGAAAGAGAGAAAAAGGAAAGAAUGUGGAUAGGGUACACACAAGCCCUAUCUACAUUCUAUUGCCCAGAAUUAAAACAUGAUUCCACCUAAUUUCAAGCAAGUGUGGGAGAAAUAAUCUAAGUAUGUACCAGAAGGAGAAGGAACAAUGUUUUGGUGAGAUCAGAGCAUUCCCUGCCAGACCUUUCUUUUAGACAGAUAAGUACGUGUUUAGAAUCUGAGGUUGAGAGUUAUUUCUCUCAGAAUGUUGAAAAUACUAUUUCAUUGUCUUAUUUUCCCAAUAUUAUCUUUUCCCAAUAUCAACUGACUUGGAAAAGUCAGUUGAUAAGCUAAGUGCCUUUUAGGUGGUUCACAAGUUUUCUUUGAUAUUUUAAAUCUCUUUGUCUAUCAGACAUACUGGGGGAAUUGUUUUAGUACUUUAAUGUGUACUUUCUCUGUCUCUCUCCUUGUCUCCUGCUCUCUCUCCUUUUCUCUCUCUCUUUUUUUUCUCUCUCUCUACGCUACACACACAAUUCGUCUAUAUGUAUACAUAUACACACAGUAUACAAAUACUCAAUUUGUUUUUGUAUAUACCUCCAUAUUCUUGGGAAGAUAGAUUUAAGAAAUAUUUUCCAUCUCCUCCCUCAGCUGCCCUGUGAUAAUUAGAUUCUUU